GAGUGACUGUUGUGAUGAUGAUGAUGAUGAUGAUGAUGAUGAUGAUAGUCAUCAUUGUCAUCAUUGUCAUCAUCAUCAUCUUCAUCAUAA
rnacentral:pre_miRNA from 1 species